UCAUGGGGGAUGAAAGACGAGUGUUUCAAGUGAUUUUGCAUAUGGUUGGAAGCCUGUUAAAUGGAAACAACGUGGGAGGGUUUGUAAUGUUUCGGGUUGCUUCUGAGAAAGGGAGUCAGGGAAGGAGUGAUCAAAGGUGGGCAGCCUGGAGACAUAGCUCGUCUGAUGGUGAUGUGUGUGUUAGAUUUGAGCUUGGGAUAAGCAAUAGCGGCUCUCGGUCAGAGGUCACAACACCAGCAGUGCAGCUUGUUGGUAGAAGAUACACCAGUGAAGGCGUUGAUGAGGGUUUGAGCUUCACCAUUUGCAAAAAGCUAGUGCAGGUGAGGGUGAUGAACUUUGUCUAUAUGUUUGAGUGUGUUUGUGUGUGUAGUAUAUCCCUUUGACUAAUGAUGGAACAAAAAUAUUACAAUUUUAAAGUUAGACUCUAUUCUUUUAGAGAUAGGAAACCCAAUAGCAGAAGAUGUUAGUAUAGCCAGAAUCUGCAUGAAAAUUUUCACCCUUGUGCUUGUAGGAUGUAACAUUUUUCUUUUUCUUCAAAAAUUCCCGUGUCAGAAAUUGGUGACCUAUGGUGCUAAUCAUAUUCAGAUAGCCCUUCUAAUGACCAGUUACAAGUUUUAGGACAGGCUCUCGAUAACCAAAGAUGUUAACCCUAUUUUUAUCACAGUAGAAUGUACAGGAACCUCACUCAGCCUUUAAUAGGUAAGGUUGUACGGGAAGAACUUAGUUUAAAAGCAUGGUAGCUUAUUUUACACAUAGCCAUUAAGAUUUUCGAACAUGAUAUUUCCCCUCAAAUCGUUACUAGUUUACUAGCAUUAAUACGAGGAAAUCUUUUGGAGAUAUAGUUUUUUCAGAUUCGCAAACCUUUACAAUUUACAUAUAUCUGCUAGUUCUACAUUGACUGUUCAUAAAGUUUUACUUGGUUGGAAUUUUCUUUUUUAAGUAUUAAUUCUUAAUUGUCAGAUGAUGCAAGGAAAUAUAUGGGCAGUCCCUAACCCUCAAGGAUUUGCUCAAAGCAUGGCACUUGUUCUUCGGUUUCAACUUCGUCCCUCCAUUGCAAUAGCCAUCUCUGAACCUGGAGAAUCAUCUGAGUACCCACAUUCCAAUUCACUUUUCAAAGGAUUGCAAGUUUUAUUAACCGAUGAUGAUGACGUGAACAGGGUUGUGAUGCGGAAAAUGCUCGAGAAGC
rnacentral:lncRNA from 1 species